rnacentral:rRNA from 1 species
GAUGAACGCUGGCGGCGUGCUUAACACAUGCAAGUCGAACGGAAAGGCUCCUGCUUGCUGGGGUACUCGAGUGGCGAACGGGUGAGUAACACGUGGGUGAUCUGCCCUGCACUUCGGGAUAAGCCUGGGAAACUGGGUCUAAUACCGGAUAGGACGAUGGUUUGGAUGCCAUUGUGGAAAGUUUUUCGGUGUGGGAUGGGCUCGCGGCCUAUCAGCUUGUUGGUGGGGUAAUGGCCUACCAAGGCGUCGACGGGUAGCCGGCCUGAGAGGGUGUACGGCCACAUUGGGACUGAGAUACGGCCCAGACUCCUACGGGAGGCAGCAGUGGGGAAUAUUGCACAAUGGGCGCAAGCCUGAUGCAGCGACGCCGCGUGGGGGAUGACGGCCUUCGGGUUGUAAACUCCUUUCGCUAGGGACGAAGCGCAAGUGACGGUACCUGGAGAAGAAGCACCGGCUAACUACGUG